UCAGAUGACCUGUGCGGGCGGCAGCCUCCUGCCCUCCUCCCCUUCGUGCGCCGGCUGGAGCGAAGAGUUCUUUUGACAGCCGUGAGCUUCCCCGCCAGGAACUUACUGGGGCUGCAUCACCCUAGAAACGUGGCUUUGGGCUGUGGAAACGCUGCCUCUGUGGAAGUCUCUCCUCGCGGGGGUGGACGGGUCGCUGCGCGCCCAGCGUUCUUCUGCGGUUCUCACAGCCCGCCGCCGCCGCCGCCUCGGGGACCUUUGCGGGGAGGCCUCAGGGGAGAAGAGGGGCCGUGGCGCCAUCGCGCAGCUUCCUGGUUUCGGCCAUGUUUUUUUUUUUUUGAGACGGAGUUUCGCUCUUUUUGCCCAGGCUGGAGGGCAAUGGCGCCGUCUCGGCUCCCUGCAGCCGCCGCCUCCCGGGUUGAAGGGACUCUCCGGCCUCAGGCCGCGGUGUUCUUGUAAAUUAGAACCGGCCUAUGCGCCAAGCGCGGGUCUCGCGGCUGCGGAGAGAGGCCCAGCAGGGGGCGGGGACGCCGGGAGGCGGGGCCUGGCCGAGCUGCGCACACCCGGGUGGUUCUGGCUACGGGUACCCGGACCUGCCCAACGACCGUUCUCCAUUCCCGACCUCCGCACCCUACCCGGUCCGCAGGGCACCUUCCUCCUCUCUCUCAGGCACGUCCUCGACCUCAGUUGCCACGUGCACAUGCUGGUGCCUUCCAGGUCGGUCUUUCUCCACCAGACUCCACCUGGAACUUUCUUCCUUUUCGUCCUGUGCUGGCCUAACCCCUGCUCGGCCUCGGCCCUCAGCUGCCGGCUCUAACAAAGCCUCUGUCUUUCCCAGACCCCUGUGACCAGGUACCAGUCAGGACUGGUAGACUUUAAUGUGGAGAACUUCUGAAACAGCAGUUCUCAAAAUGUUACCUCCAGACACACAGAAUCUGCAUCACCCAGGAACUUGUAACCAUGCAAAUUCUCAGCCACCCAGACUUCCUGCAUCAGAAACUCUGGGGCCCAGCAGCCUGUGUUUUAACAAAGCCCUUCAGGCUGGAGUAUAGUGGCAUGAUCAUAGAUCACUGCAGCCUCAAACUCCUGGGCUCAAGCGAUCCUCCCACCUCAGCCUCCAUAUAGCUGGUGGGGACCAAGUUUCUAACACAUGAAUGUUGGGAGACACAUUCAGACCAUCGCAGUGGCCUUAUAAAAAGAGACACAAGAGCUUGCUCUCUGCCAUGUGAGAAUACCACAAGAAGACUGUCCUCAGCAAAUCAGAAAGCGGGUGGACCCUCAUCAGACACCAGAUGUGCCUGCACCUUGAUCUUGGACUUGCCAGCCUUCAGAACAGUAAGAAAGAAAUGUGUGUUGUUUAAGCCACCCAGUCUAUGGUAACUUGCUAUAGCAGCCCACUAGGAGACCCCAAGAUAUUUAAAAACUCAUCAGCACCUGCUUUCUGCAUCUGGACCCUGAUCUUCUGGUGGGUUUACCAGUUACUUGUAGAGUGUCCCUGUGAUAGUUUUAGGUGUCAACUUGACAGGAUUGAGGGAUGCCUAGAUGGCUGGGGAAGCACUGUUUCUGAGAAGGACCAUGUUUUUGGAGGAGACUGUUUUAUGAGUGAAUUUCAGGGGACACAUUCAGAUCAUGGCAGUGGCAUUAUAAAGAGAGACACAAAAGCUUGCUCUCUCUCUCUGCCAUGUAAGACUACCACACAAAGACUGCCAUCUGCAAACCAGAAGCAGGUGGGCUUUCCUCAGACACCAGAUCUGCCUGCACCUUGAUCUUGGACUUGCCAGCCUUCAGAACUCUAAGAAAGAAAUGGUAGCAUGGCUUGGUCUAAGUUGGAAGGCCUGAGAAACAAGCACAUGGUGGAACUGAGUUCAAGGAUAAAGACUUGAGAAUACCUGCUCAGUGGACUGAGUAGGGAAGAUCAACCCUCAAUGUAGGCAGGCACUAUCCAAUCACCUGAGGGCCCAGAUGGAACAAAAAGGUGGAAGAAGGGUGAAUUCUCUCUUCCAGAGCUGUGACACCCUUCUCAUGCCCUUGUACCACACAACUCUAGGUCCUUUGGCCUUUGGACUCUGACACUUGCACCAGUGGCCCUCUGGGGCUCUCAAGCCUUUAGCCUUGAACUUAGUUACACCAUGUGCCUCCUUGUUUCUCAGGCCUUCCAACUUGGAUCAGGCCAUGCCACCGGCUUCUCUGAUUCUCCAGCUUGCAGAUGGUAUAUUGUGACCCUGGCAUUUAAUAACUAUGACUUUGGUCUUAAGCAAUUUUCUUCCUCUGUGGAUUGAUAUUUACAUAUCAAUGUGGAUAAUAAUUUCUUACCACGGUAACUGUUGUGAGGUAAAAAUGAGUUAACAUAAGUAAAACCGAGCACAUGCAAACCAUCCGAAAUGGUUAAUACUUACUAUUUGUACUUGAAGAAAUAAAUGUUUUUGACAAUAAACUUCUUGUGCAGUUUUCCUCAG
rnacentral:lncRNA from 1 species